UUCCGGUUGAUCCUGCCGGAGGCCAUUGCUAUCGGAGUCCGAUUUAGCCAUGCUAGUCGCACGAGUUCAGACUCGUGGCGAACAGCUCAGUAACACGUGGCCAAACUGCCCUACGGACCGGAAUAACCUCGGGAAACUGAGGCUAAUGCCGGAUACGGCUCCCAUCCUGGAGUGGAGGGAGCCGGAAACGCUCCGGCGCCGUAGGAUGUGGCUGCGGCCGAUUAGGUAGACGGUGGGGUAACGGCCCACCGUGCCCAUAAUCGGUACGGGUCAUGAGAGUGAGAGCCCGGAGACGGUAUCUGAGACAAGAUACCGGGCCCUACGGGGCGCAGCAGGCGCGAAACCUUUACACUGCACGACAGUGCGAUAGGGGGACUCCGAGUGCGAGGGCAUACAGUCCUCGCUUUUCUGUACCGUAAGGUGGUACAGGAACAAGGGCUGGGCAAGACCGGUGCCAGCCGCCGCGGUAAUACCGGCAGCCCGAGUGAUGGCCGAUAUUAUUGGGCCUAAAGCGUCCGUAGCCGGCCGAACAAGUCCGUUGGGAAAUCCACGCGCCCAACGCGUGGGCGUCCAGCGGAAACUGUUCGGCUUGGGGCCGGAGGACUCGAGGGGUACGUCCGGGGUAGGAGUGAAAUCCUGUAAUCCUGGACGGACCACCGGUGGCGAAAGCGCCUCGAGAGGACGGACCCGACAGUGAGGGACGAAAGCCAGGGUCUCGAACCGGAUUAGAUACCCGGGUAGUCCUGGCCGUAGACGAUGUCCGCUAGGUGUGGCGCAGGCUACGAGCCUGCGCUGUGCCGUAGGGAAGCCGUGAAGCGGACCGCCUGGGAAGUACGUCUGCAAGGAUGAAACUUAAAGGAAUUGGCGGGGGAGCACUACAACCGGAGGAGCCUGCGGUUUAAUUGGAUUCAACGCCGGG
rnacentral:rRNA from 1 species